AGGAGUGUUGGACACAGGACCACCCUGUGUGCAACGCAGGACAGUUAGCUGUCACACCUCAAAAUCUGAAUUACCCUUGUCCGAACUACACACCUCUGCUAUAUGAACUGCGACCAUUUUGUGUCAAAUAAACCUCCUUCUUCAUCAUUACUUCAACCGAACCACACGUGCUUCUGUCUAUUCCUAAUUUCCCUACGGCACUGCAAAUCUCUAACAAAGAUACCAUUCUUUUCAUGAUAAGUUUGAUCGAAGAAUCAAAAUAAAACCAAACAGCAUGACGCAUGGCGUGAAAUUAGUGUAAUUUCAGAUACACCUGUCGACUGUUUGGUGAGGAAAUGGAAGUCACUUUGUGGCUCUUUCCGUUUCUACCAUGCAAAGGAACAAAAAAGUAAAGUGACUGGUUCAUCUUCAUCGAGCAUAUAUAAACCAAAAUGGUUUGCAUACAGAGCAAUGCAUUUUAUGCAUCAUGCAAAGGAAACUGCAUCAACAAUGGACACCCUCUUUCGGACUAUUCAAACCGCAUAACUGAGUUUGACGAAUAUCCUUCUGAAGACUGGCUAAAGCAGAGAAACGAUGGGAAGGAACUGGCCAUCAUCAUCAUCAUCAUCAAACCCUUUAACAUCACACCAAGAGACUUCAGACAUAAAAAUACCUAUAGUUGUGGAUCUAAAUUCUCCAAUAGACUACUAUUGGAUACAAUUGGACUACUAUCCAAUAGGCUACUAUUACGCCAGAUAAUUUAGAACAAACUGCUGAAUUGAGGGUUUUACCAAAUACUCCAAUACAAAACACACAACACCCAGUUAUGUCGGAGUCGUCGACAAGAAUAUCAAUCAGUAAUAUACUAAACAACCAACCAUCCAUACAACAGUUAACGCAGGAAGCUCGGACACAAUCAUCUACACCACCAUCUUCGGUUUCACAAACAUUCUGAUUGCAGCCUUCCGAACCAUCAAACCGUCGAAAUCGACGACCUGCGCAGUGUUCUUCAGGAGUGUUCCAAGCUGUUCGAAGACACACAAAUCCGAUUCACCACGUAUGCACCCAGCGGAUUUCCAUCAAAGCCAUCAAAGGCGGAAAGCCAUCAAAGAUGUGGGCAUGUUGCAUCCGACAACGAGGGCAGCAGCUUCCAGAAUGCUCUGUAGAAGUAAUUGAAAGGACUGCUUAAUUUGCUCCUGCUGCAUUCUGGUGUUCAUCGUCGGUGAUCAUCAUUAUUGGCGACGAAAGCAGCACAGGCAAAUUUAUCACAACAGGACCAGUUGCUCGUUCAGUCGUUAUGUACGAUGUACCGCCGCUUGUCGAUGGCUCUUGGUUACCACCAUCAACUAUCUUGCCUGGCGAUCGGAUCUGGCUAGGAACACUGAUCCUUCAGCAGCCGCUAUCGCCGAUGCAGAAGCACUGGUGGCUAAUUGUUGUCUUACAACAGCAGUCUUCAUACCACGCUGAUUCUUCGGAGCAUGAACUUCGGCAAACGAUGCAAUCGAUGGUACUGCCGAUCCCGUCAAUGCCUGUUGUCUACCGAUCUUCAUACCUGAUUCCCGCGGUAUAGCAUCAGCAACCGGUACCAAUGAUGGCGCAGCAGUACAAGUUGACGGUUGCAGUCCAUGUUGCUGGCCUAGCGGACGGAAUGGUGCAGGAACACGAGCUGUGCUGUGAGAAUUACAGCUGGCUCUCACAACCGUAUGGAAGCCGCAGCGAGUUGGUAACAUCAAGAUCAUCACCACCGCACGAAGCGCAGCCUAUUGAAGCAAGCCUAAGCGGACAGCAACCACCUGCAGCAAACGUACGCCGAACGAAUGGACGUGGUAGACACGUUAUGAUUGCAAGGCGAUACUUGCGCUCUGAAAAUGCUAGCACAGAUGUUUGAGCCACAGAGGUGACGUUUCGAGAGUGUAAAAACAUGCCUGGCCCACAGUGUCAGAUAAGCCGUUCUCAUCAAUGACAUACCAUGUACGGUCGGUUAGUUACACUCCAUCACGAAGGACUCGAUGACGACGCAACUCCUGCACGUUCACCUGCAAUCUCAUCUACGGUACACAUACUAUUAAAGUGAACAGAUACGAACACAAAACUCUAAACAGCACUAAAGGUAAUCAUCUAAAAUUCUACUCAGCAUUAAAGGUUAUCAUCAUCAUCAUCACACACGUACCGCCAUCAUCACUUUUAUAAUUACAGUGCUGCCCAGAAAUAUAGAGAACGGAUAUUUCACGGAAAUAGUAGAACUUUUUGUUGGGUAGGUGCACCAAUUAUGGACGAGUUUGUACAGUAUUUGGACUAUAACAAGAAUUGUGACAAAACUACCGAAUAAAAAUUCAUGAACAAAGGAGAAGGAGAUAGACACACAUCUAAGCUACCUUAUUGCUUUUACAUUUUGUAAAUUAAUCAUUUUUUACAAAAGUUAUAGCCGUUUUCCAAAACCUCUUCCAUGCACCAAUUGUUGUGCUAUGUGUUCCAAAUGUUGUGCUAGUCCAAAAAAUGCGGUAGGAUUGUUUGAUCUUACCAAAUCUGAUCGAAAUUGAUUUUCAACAUCAAGAGGAAUAUUUUUAAGGAAUUUACAAUUACAGUGGAGCGUCCUUUAUCCGGGCUUCUCGGGACUUGACCUCGCCCGGAUACGCGAAUAACGCGGAUAAUGAGUCAAAUGAUAUAUU